rnacentral:rRNA from 2 species
ACGGGAGGCAGCAGUGGGGAAUAUUGCACAAUGGGGGAAACCCUGAUGCAGCGACGCCGCGUGAGUGAAGAAGUUAUUCGUAAUGUAAAGCUCUAUCAGCAGGGAAGAAAAUGACGGUACCUGACUAAGAAGCCCCGGCUAACUACGUGCCAGCAGCCGCGGUAAUACGUAGGGGGCAAGCGUUAUCCGGAUUUACUGGGUGUAAAGGGAGCGUAGACGGUCUGGCAAGUCUGAUGUGAAAGGCAGGGGCUCAACUCCUGGACUGCAUUGGAAACUGUCAGUCUUGAGUGCCGGAGAGGUAAGCGGAAUUCCUAGUGUAGCGGUGAAAUGCGUAGAUAUUAGGAGGAACACCAGUGGCGAAGGCGGCUUGCUGGACGACAACUGACGCUGAGGCGCGAAAGCGUGGGGAGCAAACAGGAUUAGAUACCCUGGUA